UGGGGAAUAUUGGACAAUGGGCGCAAGCCUGAUCCAGCCAUGCCGCGUGAGUGAUGAAGGCCCUAGGGUUGUAAAGCUCUUUCACCGGUGAAGAUAAUGACGGUAACCGGAGAAGAAGCCCCGGCUAACUUCGUGCCAGCAGCCGCGGUAAUACGAAGGGGGCUAGCGUUGUUCGGAUUUACUGGGCGUAAAGCGCACGUAGGCGGACUUUUAAGUCAGGGGUGAAAUCCCGGGGCUCAACCCCGGAACUGCCUUUGAUACUGGAAGUCUGGAGUAUGGUAGAGGUGAGUGGAAUUCCGAGUGUAGAGGGGAAAUUCGUAGAUAUUCGGAGGAACACCAGGGGCGAAGGCGGCUAACUGGACAAUUACUGACGCAGAGGUGCGAAAGCGGGGGGAGCAAACAGG
rnacentral:rRNA from 1 species